AUGGAAAUGAAUACACUGAAAUCAGAUCUUCCUUCCCGGUGUGGAUUUGUUCCCAGGUGUCAGUCUGCAGCGUUGGGUCACCGACCAGCUGCAAUGCUGCACAGGCCUACCCACUAUUUUGGAUGCCAGAGGAGAAAGUGACAGAAUGGAAUUUUUGCUUUCAAGUAACUGAUAAACUAAUGGGAGUGGCAGAUGCAUAAAUAGUGUGGGGUAUUGAGGUAAGUGUUCUAAUGAAGGUUAACUCAAUUACCAUAAACAGAGAGGGAAGGAAGUAGCUAGCUCUGGUAUCUUCAAGGAAUCACAUAAAAAACAUAACAUUUCUUGAGUUGUCUGAGCUCUCCUAUCUUGUAUUAAAAUUCUUAUUCCAUUCUCUUGACGCUUAACUUUUAACCUGGCAGCUACUCAUUGAUUCUUUGGUUAUAUUCACUCUUAUAUUUCCUGGAUUGAGAUUCUGGCUCCCCUCCUGGCUAAGUUUCAACCUAUUCACUUCAGAGUAACAGCCAGCUGAACCUGACCUCUGGUUCCCAUCUUCAAGCACAUGUUCCUGCGAGUGGACCCUCAUGGGCAGGGUUUGGGGAAGGCUUUACGGAGAAGGUGAGUCUGGAAGAAAGCGUAGGAAUAAGCUAGGCAAACAAGGCAAAGUCCUCAUGGCUGCCUGGCUCCACCUCUGGGUGUAAAAAAGCACAACACCUUUCUCCUUCAGUACACCGCUUCUCUCUGCCAGUUGCCACUAGGGAGAAUAAAUGAUUAAAGUUGUUUAGUAAGAAGGCAACAUGGUCUAAUCAGCUAGGUUUUGGGCUGAGUAUGACAAGGUGAUAACAAAGGUGCUUAGGAUAUUUCCUGCUUUUGAGGACUCACAUUCAGUUGGAGGGAAACCAGGAUUGUGAUCUAGUGACCUGUGAAUAACUUGUUAUGCAGUCAUCUCUUUCUAUCCUCUCAUUUGUCUCUCUCUCUCUCUCUCUCUCUCUCUCUCAUCUCUCUCUCUCCUUCUCAAUGUGGUGUGUGUGUGUUUAUUAUGGGAAUUGGCUGACAUGAUUAUGAAGGCUAAGUAAUUCCAUAAUCUGCUCUUUGCAAGCUGGAGACCCAGGAAAGCCAGUGGUGUCACUGUAGUCAUAAGUCAAAGCAAGGACCUGAGAACA
rnacentral:lncRNA from 10 species